GGAUGUAGAACCUAGGUAUAGCACCCCCUUAUUUAUAAGAUAAGAAGGGGCGCCAUACACAUCCAAGAGACGCCAACUCUUGGCAUCAAAAAUUCCCAAAUAAAUUGACAUGGAAUAUAAGGUGUUUCAUAAGCAGAAGGACUCUCCUUUCUGCAUCCAGAAACUAAGGUGCCAUAUGAUGUUGCCCCCUUUAAGAAUUAGCAUGGAAUAAGAGA
rnacentral:lncRNA from 1 species